rnacentral:lncRNA from 1 species
UCCUUCUCUACAACAACAACUCCACGAAUUCAUCACCUCUAUAUUUACACCUUCAAUUCCCACUAGCAGUUUCUUCUCCAUGAACAAGUCAACAAUACCUAGUAACAAAAAUAAAAUUCUCCUUUCCACCCACGACAUCAUUAACACCUAAAAGAAAAAAAAAUGUCCCCUUCCUCAACACUUAAAAAAGAGAAUAGUACAAACAUAGGAGAGACC